AGUGAACGCUGGCGGUAGGCCUAACACAUGCAAGUCGAACGGCAGCACAGUAAGAGCUUGCUCUUACGGGUGGCGAGUGGCGGACGGGUGAGGAAUACAUCGGAAUCUACUUUUUCGUGGGGGAUAACGUAGGGAAACUUACGCUAAUACCGCAUACGACCUACGGGUGAAAGCAGGGGAUCUUCGGACCUUGCGCGAUUGAAUGAGCCGAUGUCGGAUUAGCUAGUUGGCGGGGUAAAGGCCCACCAAGGCGACGAUCCGUAGCUGGUCUGAGAGGAUGAUCAGCCACACUGGAACUGAGACACGGUCCAGACUCCUACGGGAGGCAGCAGUAGGGAAUAUUGGGCAAUGGGCGAAAGCCUGACCCAGCCACACCGCGUGGGUGAAGAAGGCCUUCGGGUUGUAAAGCCCUUUUGUUGGGAAAGAAAAGCAGCAGGUUAAUACCCCGCUGUUCUGACGGUACCCAAAGAAUAAGCACCGGCUAACUUCGUG
rnacentral:rRNA from 1 species